rnacentral:rRNA from 1 species
UACGAAGGGUGCAAGCGUUACUCGGAAUUACUGGGCGUAAAGGGUGCGUAGGUGGUUCUUUAAGUCUGCUGUGAAAGCCCCGGGCUCAACCUGGGAAUGGCAUUGGAUACUGGCUCGCUCGAGUGCGGUAGAGGGUGGUGGAAUUCCCGGUGUAGCAGUGAAAUGCGUAAAGAUCGGGAGGAACAUCUGUGGCGAAGGCGGCCACCUGGACCAGCACUGACACUGAGGCACGAAAGCGUGGGGAGCAAACAGG